UGAUACCAGCGUAUAUAUGAAAAUAGUA
rnacentral:piRNA from 1 species